rnacentral:rRNA from 1 species
UAGGGAAUCUUCCACAAUGGGCGCAAGCCUGAUGGAGCAACGCCGCGUGAGUGAAGAAGGUCUUCGGAUCGUAAAACUCUGUUGUUAGAGAAGAACACGAGUGAGAGUAACUGUUCAUUCGAUGACGGUAUCUAACCAGCAAGUCACGGCUAACUACGUGCUAG